GGCCUUUUGAUGAUAAUUUAAGGUCUGGCCUGCUCAAUGAUGAGAUAUUAAAUGGCCGCGGUAUUUUGACCGUGCAAAGGUAGCAUAAUCAUUAGUUUUUUAAUUGGAAGCUUGCAUGAAAGGUUUGAUGAGAGAAGGGCUGUCUCUGUUUAAAUUUUUUAGAAAUUUAUUUUUAAGUUAAAAAGCUUAAAUUAGCAUUAAAGACGAGAAGACCCUGUAGAGUUUUAUAUUUUUAUAAAAUUAUUAUGUUUUGGUAUUUUCUAAUGAUUUUUAUGAUUAUUUAGUUGGGGUGAUUGAAAAAUUAGUCAAACUUUUUUAUAUGAAAUUUCACUGAUUUGUGGGUUUUUGAUCCUUUUUAAGAUUAAUAGAUAAAAUUACCUCAGGGAUAACAGCGUAAUUUUUCUUAGAGUUCUUAUCGAAAGAAAAGAUUGCGACCUCGAUGUUGGAUUAAAAUAAGUUGCUGGCGCAGGAGCUAGUAAGCUGGGUCUGUUCGACCCUUAAAUUUUUACAUGAUCUGAGUUUAGACCGGCGUGAG
rnacentral:rRNA from 1 species